rnacentral:rRNA from 1 species
UACGGGGGGGGCAAGCGUUGUUCGGAAUUAUUGGGCGUAAAGGGUUCGUAGGCGGCUGGCUAAGUCAGACGUGAAAUCCCUCAGCUCAACUGGGGAACUGCGUCUGAGACUGGUCAGCUUGAGUGCAGGAGAGGAACGCGGAAUUCCAGGUGUAGCGGUGAAAUGCGUAGAUAUCUGGAGGAACACCGGUGGCGAAAGCGGCUCACUGGAUCGAUACUGACGCUGAGGUGCGAAAGCUAGGGUAGCAAACGGG